rnacentral:rRNA from 1 species
GGAAAAGAAACCAACAGGGAUUGCCCCAGUAGCGGCGAGUGAAGCGGCAAGAGCUCAGAUUUGGAAUCGUGUUUCGGCACGAGUUGUAAAUUGCAGGUUGGAGUCUUUGUGGAAGCGUGUGUCCAAGUCCCUUGGAACAGGGCGCCAUUGAGGGUGAGAGCCCCGUGGGAUGCGCGCGGAAGCAACAAGGCCCUUCUGACGAGUCGAGUUGUUUGGGAAUGCAGCUCUAAGCGGGUGGUAAAUUCCAUCUAAGGCUAAAUACUGGCGAGAGACCGAUAGCGAACAAGUACUGUGAAGGAAAGAUGAAAAGCACUUUGAAAAGAGAGUGAAACAGCACGUGAAAUUGUUGAAAGGGAAGGGUAUUGGGCCCGACAUGGGGAUUGCGCAUCUCUGCUCCUUGUGGGCGGGGCGCUGUGCUUUUCCUGGGCCAGCAUCGGUUUUUGCCGCAGGAGAAGGGGUACUGGAAUGUGGCUCCUCGGAGUGUUAUAGCCAGUGCCAGAUGCUGCGUGCGGGGACCGAGGGCUGCGACAUCUGUCUCGGAUGCUGGCACAACGGCGCAAUACCGCCC